UACAGAGGGUGCGAGCGUUAAUCGGAAUUACUGGGCGUAAAGCGCACGUAGGUGGCGACGUAAGUCGGGUGUGAAAGCCCCGGGCUCAACCUGGGAAUUGCAUUCGAGACUGCAUUGCUGGAGUACGGAAGAGGAAGGCGGAAUUCCCGGUGUAGCGGUGAAAUGCGUAGAGAUCUGGAGGAACACCGAUGGCGAAGGCGGCAACCUGGCUCGUAACUGACGCUCAUACACGACAGCAUGGGGAGC
rnacentral:rRNA from 1 species